ACGGCUCAGUAACACGUGGACAACGUGCCCUUAAGUGGAGGAUAACCUCGGGAAAUUGAGGAUAAUACUCCAUAGAUCAUGGAAUCUGGAACGAUUCAUGGUUCAAAGUUCCGGCGCUUAAGGAUCGGUCUGCGGCCUAUCAGGUAGUAGUGGGUGUAACGUACCUACUAGCCUAUGACGGGUAUGGGCCUUGAGAGAGGGAGCCCAGAGUUGGAUUCUGAGACACGAAUCCAGGCCCUACGGGGCGCAGCAGUCGCGAAAACUUCACAAUGGGCGCAAGCCCGAUGAGGGAACUCCUAGUGCUAGCACUUUUGUGUUAGCUUUUCUUUAGCGUAGAUAACUAAAGGAAUAAGGACUGGGUAAGACGGGUGCCAGCAGCCGCGGUAAUAC
rnacentral:rRNA from 1 species